GAUGAACGCUGGCGGCGUGCCUAAUACAUGCAAGUCGAGCGAACGGACGAGAAGCUUGCUUCUCUGAUGUUAGCGGCGGACGGGUGAGUAACACGUGGAUAACCUACCUAUAAGACUGGGAUAACUUCGGGAAACCGGAGCUAAUACCGGAUAAUAUUUUGAACCGCAUGGUUCAAAAGUGAAAGACGGUCUUGCUGUCACUUAUAGAUGGAUCCGCGCUGCAUUAGCUAGUUGGUAAGGUAACGGCUUACCAAGGCAACGAUGCAUAGCCGACCUGAGAGGGUGAUCGGCCACCCUGGAACUGAGACACGGUCCAGACUCCUACGGGAGGCAGCAGUAGGGAAUCUUCCGCAAUGGGCGAAAGCCUGACGGAGCAACGCCGCGUGAGUGAUGAAGGUCCUCGGAUCGUAAAACUCUGUUAUUAGGGAAGAACAUAUGUGUAAGUAACUGUGCACAUCUUGACGGUACCUAAUCAGAAAGCCACGGCUAACUACGUG
rnacentral:rRNA from 1 species